CCAAAUCGGGCAUACAGGCCUUACGGUAGGCCUACGUUCAUAAAAAAUGAUGUUUAUGGCCCUAACGAAAAAUUUAAAAUAUUGGUUUGUAUGCAUGUGUGAUUUUACACGACCUAAAUAACUAGCUCAUGUAGUUCCACACGGCCUGGAACACGACUAUAUGAACAACCGUGUACCUUACACGGUCUAAAAAAUACACGUGUCACUUGCCCGUGUGGUUACAAACAGUGUGUCACACGGCCUGGACACAUG
rnacentral:lncRNA from 1 species